GAUGAACGCUGACAGAAUGCUUAACGCAUGCAAGUCUUUGGCGAAGCUGUGCUUGCACAGCCUAGCCAAGGCGGACGGGUGAGUAACGCGUAAGGAACUUGCCCUGCAGUCAGGGAUAACAGACGGAAACGACUGAUAAGACCUGGUAAAGUCAGGCGGACUCAUGUCCAGCCUGAUGAAAAGAGAUGCUGCAGGAGAGCCUUGCGUCCUAUUAGCUUGUUGGUGGGGUAACGGCCCACCAAGGCGAUGAUAGGUAGCCGGCCUGAGAGGGUGGACGGCCACAAGGGGACUGAGAUACGGCACUUACUCCUACGGGAGGCAGCAGUGGGGAAUAGUGGACAAGAGGGGCAACCCUGAUCCAGCAAUUCUGUGUGCACGAUGAAGGUUUUCGGAUUGUAAAGUGCUUUCAGCAGGGAAGAAAAAAAUGACGGUACCUGCAGAAGAAGCGACGGCUAAAUACGUG
rnacentral:rRNA from 1 species